rnacentral:rRNA from 1 species
UUAGACCGGUGCAAGCGGGACAGUAGCCAUGCAGGCAAAUCCGUGUGGCAAUACGAAGGCGUGAGCGGACCGAAAUAAAGUAGGGAAGCAUGUGAGCCAUGUGCCAAGAAAAGCCGCUAUAGAUCAUACCGUACCCGUACCGUAAACCGACACAGGUAGAUGAGGAGAGAAUCCUAAGGCCGACGGGAGAAGCAUUGUUAAGGAACUCGGCAAAAUGACCCCGUAACUUCGGGAGAAGGGGUGCCCACGCGAGUGGGCCGCAGAGAAUAGGCUCAAGCAACUGUUUAGCAAAAACACAGGUCUAUGCGAAACCGAAAGGUGAGGUAUAUGGGCUGACGCCUGCCCGGUGCUGGAAGGUUAAGAGGAGGAGUCAGGCAACGAAGCUCCGAAUUUAAGCCCCAGUAAACGGCGGCCGUAACUAUAACGGUCCUAAGGUAGCGAAAUUCCUUGUCGGGUAAGUUCCGACCCGCACGAAAGGCGUAAUGAUUUGAGCACUGUCUCGACAAUGCACCCGGUGAAAUUGAAGUACCAGUGAAGAUGCUGGUUACCUGCGCCAGGACGGAAAGACCCCAUGGAGCUUUACUCCAGUUUGAUACUGGGAUUCGAUACUGAAUGUACAGGAUAGGUGGGAGGCUGAGAAGCGUGGACGCCAGUCUGCGGUGAGCCGCUGUUGGGAUACCACCCUUUGAGUAUUGGAUUUCUAACCUGCGCCCGUGACCCGGGCGGGGGACAAUGUCUGACGGGGAGUUUGACUGGGGCGGUCGCCUCCGAAAGGGUAUCGGAGGCGCUCAAAGGUUCCCUCAGAAUGGUUGGAAACCAUUCGCAGAGUGCAAAGGCAGAAGGGAGCCUGACUGUGACACCGACGGGUGGAGCAGGUACGAAAGUAGGACUUAGUGAUCCGGUGGUAUGAAAGUGGGAUUGCCAUCGCUCAACGGAUAAAAGCUACCCUGGGAUAACAGGCUUAUCACUCCCAAGAGUUCACAUCGACGGAGUGGUUUGGCACCUCGAUGUCGGCUCAUCGCAUCCUGGGGCUGUAGCAGGUCCCAAGGGUUGGGCUGUUCGCCCAUUAAAGCGGUACGCGAGCUGGGCUCAGAACGUCGUGAGACAGUUCGGUCCCUAUCCGGCGCAGGCGUAGGAUAUUUGAGAGGAGCUGUCCUUAGUACGAGAGGACCGGGAUGGACAGACCGCUGGUGUAUCUGUUGGUGACCAACACCAUGGCAGAGUAGCCAAGUCUGGCAGGGAUAAACGCUGAAGGCAUCUAAGCGUGAAGCCCCCCUCAAGAUGAGAUAUCCCAAUAAGUAAGACCCCUUAGAGAGUAUGAGGUAGAUAGGCUUAAGGUGUAAGCAUAGUAAUAUGUUCAGCUGAUAAGUACUAAUAGGUCGAGGGCUUAUCUA